rnacentral:rRNA from 1 species
AGUGAACGCUGGCGGUAGGCCUAACACAUGCAAGUCGAACGGCAGCACAGUAAGAGCUUGCUCUUACGGGUGGCGAGUGGCGGACGGGUGAGGAAUACAUCGGAAUCUACUUUUUCGUGGGGGAUAACGUAGGGAAACUUACGCUAAUACCGCAUACGACCUACGGGUGAAAGCAGGGGAUCUUCGGACCUUGCGCGAUUGAACGAGCCGAUGUCGGAUUAGCUAGUUGGCGGGGUAAAGGCCCACCAAGGCGACGAUCCGUAGCUGGUCUGAGAGGAUGAUCAGCCACACUGGAAAGGAGACACGGUCCAGACUCCUACGGGAGGCAGCAGUGGGGAAUAUUGGACAAUGGGCGCAAGCCUGAUCCAGCCAUACCGCGUGGGUGAAGAAGGCCUUCGGGUUGUAAAGCCCUUUUGUUGGGAAAGAAAAGCAGCAGGUUAAUACCCCGCUGUUCUGACGGUACCCAAAGAAUAAGCACCGGCUAACUUCGUG